CUCAAUCACGCACCUUCUUCCCCCCCUCCCCCAACUCUCUCUCACUUUCCCCCAACUCUUUCUCUCUCUGAACUCCCGCCAUCGACCCCUCCGCCUCCGCCUUCGCAUCUGUCUCCUUUUCCGAUCAUCGUCGUAGUCGCCUCCGGUAGUCAUCGUCGCGUUCUGUUGUUCGUUUCUCUCACACCGCUCCGCUUUGGCAACUCAGAGAUCAUCUUCCCAAGAUCAAGUUUGGGCAGCUGUGGCCGCAAGGUUUUGCUGUGGUGGCUCCGUGUUGAAGCUCGUGCAGAUAGCAAAUUCUCUGCCUGGUUAAUCAUUUUCUACAGUUCUGAUUAAUGGUAUUGCUUCCAUAGUUAUGCUAGUCAUACCAAUAUAGCUAGUUCUGACAUAUAGAGUGGUCAUAAUGAUGAUAAUUUUGUUCAUGAUGGAACUCAUGUGGAGUGUCCAUUGGUUUAACAAUCUUCAUUUCAUCUAGAAAGAACCACUGGGCCUAGUUUAUGUAUGGACAGGGUUUAAAUUAUUUAGUUAAGAUCAUCACAAGGCAGUGCUUGAAUAUUUGCAGUACAAUUUUGAUGUAAUAGCCCUUAGAUAGUCCAUUGUACACAGUGCUAGCUAGUCUUUAUACUAUCCCCUGAUCAUUUGAAUUUUUUAGGGUUUGGGUUACUUAUAUGAGUCAGAUGGUGAAUAUUAAUAAUGAAAGGAAGAAAGAUAUAGAAAUAACUGUACUAGAGAAUAUUUAAUGACCCGAAAAUAAGUUUAAAAAUAUUCACCAUGAACAAGCGUUUAGGUAAAAUUUAUAUUUUUAACCUUUACAAUGUUAUAUAUAGUACGAAUUUAUAUAUAUCAUUUUAAUUUUAAUUAUUAUUUGUCAAACUUAUUUAUGAAUAUAAUAUUUCUUUAUAUUUACUAUUUUAGAGAGUUUUAAAUUUAAAUUUCUCCCCCAAAUUAUAUUUUAUGUUCAGGAAAACUUAAUUUUUUUACAAAUUUUAUUUAUCAAAAUUUUAUUAAAUUUUUAUAUGUAAUUAAAACUAAAUAAAAUUUAAAAAUUCCAUCUAAAAUUGAAAACAAGAUUAAAGUUGGAUAUUUUUUAUCCAUAUAUAUAUAUAUAUAUAUACAUAUACAUGGAUUGCAAGUACUCCCAUCCACUCCCUUAACAAUUAAAGAUACAAUUCUUGCAAUCUUUGCUUUGCAGUUAGCAAUGUUGGCAGCAUUGUACAUGUUGGUGUAUAUUAUAAUUAUUAAUUUUUUAGCCGUUAUUAAUCAAGUUAUUGACUGCUAUAUCUGUUAUUUUUUUUUCAUUAUUUAAGUGUUUUGUUAACCACAUCAUUUUUCAUACUAGUUAUCCAAUAUCUGACGUUAUCAUUUUGUUUUACUCUUUCUGCCACCAAAAUGUCACCAAAAGUUAAAAUUUGAGAAAGUAAGAAUAGCUUGUUAGGUGCUUAGAAAAUAAUAAGGGUCCAGCAUUAAUUUAAUUUCAUUUGAGUUGAUUAGUCCUUGAUAACUCUGUUUUAUGUUAAUUUUGCUUGUUUGUUUUCCAGAUGUGUUCUAAGCAAGGUUGUUAAAAUCGGGAUUUUAAGUGGGAUCGACAAAGGGUCUAUAAAAUCGUAUCGUAAAAUCGAAUCGUAAAAUCGUAAGAUUUUAGAGAUAAUAAAAAAUACCCUUUAAUUUUUGUAAAUAUAUGUGUAUAAUAACAUAAUUUUGUAGAAAAUAAAUUAAUAUCAUUUAAUAACCUGAUUAUUCCUUAUUAUAAUUCAAAAGAUGAUACUUUUAAAAUAUAGCUCAAAAACUAGCAGGUUGGUAUAGGCAAUUUAGAGGUAAAAUAUAGGUAAUUUAGAGGUAAAAUAUAGGUUAAAAUUCUUUAAAGUAUGCUUCCAACGUCUUCCAUUAGAUUUAGAUUGCAAUUUUUUCUUGAUUUAACAUUGAUUAAAUCAAGUAAUAUCCCGAUUUGGAGUUGGGUGGUCCAUUAAUUAAUUACUUGUUUGUCUUGAUUUACUUAUGCAAUCAAUGUUAAAUCAAGUAAAAAUUAUAAUUUAAAUCAAGUAAAUUGGAACUUAUGCAAUUAAUGUUAGAUGUUAUGUGAUAUUGGAACUUAUGCAAUCAAUAUUAAAUCAAGUUCCAAUUUAGAGGCAAAAUAUAACAAUUCAUUGCAUAAGUUCCAAUGUCAGAUGCUAUGUGACAUUGAGAUAUUGGAAGUAUCUUAUAAAUUACAACUUAAAUCAAUGGAGGUCUUUGAACCGUAAAAUCGUUUGGGGAUCUUUGAAACGUAAAAUCGUACAUGUAAAAUCGUGAUUUUAUAGGAUUUUAUCUCAAAUUAGAUUUUACAUGGGAUUUGAAUCGUUUGGGGGUCUUCGAAUCGUAAAAUCGUAAAAUCGUACACGUAAAAUCGGGAUUUUAACAACAAUGGAUCUAAGAAGACUAGUUCACUUAGUCUCUUGCUUGUGCAUUUCUUUAAUUAUGAUAUCAAUUUGGGAUGCAGCUGUCUUAAAAGCAAACACCACCACCAGUUUUCUGCCAAUCCUUUUCUUGACAUCUGAACUUGAAUACACAAUAAUUCUGUGAAAAUUCCUCGCACCUUCUUGCUACUCUCUUUCUCUCUCUCUCUCUCUCUGCAUAUAUAUAUAUAUAUCACAAAUUUUGCUUGUCAAAUUAAGAGGGAUAAAGGGAAGAAGAAGGAGAGGAAAAAGCUCAGUUGUCUACUUACGAGCCAGCCCUAUAGCAGCAUUUUGUUGUGAAAGCAGGAUUCCUAAUCCAGGUACAAGUCUCUUUUUCAAGAGCUCUAGGAGACGUGAACAUGUUGCGGCAAGUAUUGAUUGAAAAGAAUAUUAUGCCUUCUCCGUCUACUGCGCAUGUAUCAUUGGAUCAUAGUUCAUGAUGAUUUUGCCUCAAUCCAUCCCGCCUCGACCCAUCCAGCUCUAGCCCUUCCCUCCAUUCUACUGAAGAGGAGUUUGACGACGAGAUUUAAUAAUUUAUUUUAUGCUUUUUUUUCAAGAAUGUUUGAACAUUUUAGAUGACUUUAUGAUUUUAUACUUAUUUUGUGACUUUAUGACUUUUUAUGUGCGUAUAUGUUUGAACUAAAUUGUAAUAGAUGACUUUUUAUUUUGUGA